rfam:Gossypium arboreum cultivar AKA8401 contig_112952_1, whole genome shotgun sequence.
UUAGCGGCGCUUUUAGGCGCCACUAAAACUUUUAGCGGCGCUUUAU